rnacentral:rRNA from 1 species
GACGGGGGAUGCGAGCGUUAUCCGGAAUGAUUGGGCGUAAAGGGUCCGCAGGUGGCCCGGUCAGUCCGCUGUCAAAGCCUGGGGCUCAACCCUGGAGAGGCGGCGGAGACCACCGGGCUUGAGUCCGGUAGGGGCAGAGGGAAUUCCCGGUGGAGCGGUGAAAUGCGUAGAGAUCGGGAGGAACACCAGUGGCGAAGGCGGCUACCUGGACCAGCAC